rnacentral:rRNA from 1 species
GACGAACGCUGGCGGCGUGCUUAACACAUGCAAGUCGAACGGAAAGGCCCUGCUUUUGUGGGGUGCUCGAGUGGCGAACGGGUGAGUAACACGUGAGUAACCUGCCCUUGACUUUGGGAUAACUUCAGGAAACUGGGGCUAAUACCGGAUAGGAGCUCCUGCUGCAUGGUGGGGGUUGGAAAGUUUCGGCGGUUGGGGAUGGACUCGCGGCUUAUCAGCUUGUUGGUGGGGUAGUGGCUUACCAAGGCUUUGACGGGUAGCCGGCCUGAGAGGGUGACCGGCCACAUUGGGACUGAGAUACGGCCCAGAGUGCUACGGGAGGCAGCAGUGGGGAAUAUUGCACAAUGGGCGGAAGCCUGAUGCAGCAACGCCGCGUGCGGGAUGACGGCCUUCGGGUUGUAAACCGCUUUCGCCUGUGACGAAGCGUGAGUGACGGUAAUGGGUAAAGAAGCACCGGCUAACUACGUG